rnacentral:rRNA from 1 species
CCUACGGGAGGCAGCAGUCGAGAAUCAUUCACAAUGGGGGAAACCCUGAUGGUGCGACGCCGCGUGGGGGAAUGAAGGUCUUCGGAUUGUAAACCCCUGUCAUGUGGGAGCAAAUUAAAAAGAUAGUACCACACGAGGAAGAGACGGCUAACUCUGUGCCAGCAGCCGCGGUAAUACAGAGGUCUCAAGCGUUGUUCGGAAUCACUGGGCGUAAAGCGUGCGUAGGCUGUUUCGUAAGUCGUGUGUGAAAGGCGCGGGCUCAACCCGCGGACGGCACAUGAUACUGGGAGACUAGAGUAAUGGAGGGGGAACCGGAAUUCUCGGUGUAGCAGUGAAAUGCGUAGAUAUCGAGAGGAACACUCGUGGCGAAGGCGGGUUCCUGGACAUUAACUGACGCUGAGGCACGAAGGCCAGGGGAGCGAAAGGGAUUAGAUACCCUUGUAGUC